UAUCCUAUUCUCAGAUUCCAGAAGCCAGUCUAUUUUGACGGGUCACUCUAUUGGCUCACCGACUGUGUAGAAACAAAGGUUUUGUCUUUCGAUCUCCACACUGAAACUUUCCAAGUCAUCUGUAAAACUCCCUUUGCCGAUGCACCUCGCCCAAGUAACGUAGUCUUGUUCAUCCUUGAUGACUGUUUGUGCGCUUCUGAGAAAACGUGGCCAACGCAAGUCAUAUGGUCUUUGGAUUCUUCUUCAAAGACAUGGAAGCAAAUGUGUUCUAUAGAUCUCACCAAUACUUUUCCUUUGUUCGACAGAUACGGUCCCAUACCCUUACCCGUAGCAAUCCUGGAGAAGAACAAGUUAUAUCUCCAUGGUCGUAACUACUUGGAACCACUCAUGCUACAUGAUCUCAAUACCAAAUCUUUUGAGGUUGUCUCCACACCUACCACCCCCGGAGAUUGUAUUUAUUAUUUCGAAAGUUUGUUCUCUGUUUAAUCUUUUAUGUUUCCUUAUUUAUGUAUCAAUCAACCAUUUGUAACCUGAACAAAUGUAUUUGGAUACAUAAUAUGUAAAUAAUCAAACCUGAAGAAAAAUGAAUUGAAUUUUAAAAGGAUAAUUAUAGAUUUAAUGUUGAGUCAAUCUUAUAAAGAAAUGGACUUUUUAGCUUUAUCCAAAACACGUACCAAACUGGGGAAUGUUGAGUCAAUCUUAAUUUAAUGUCGCUUAGUUAUAGGGAUGCACGUAGCUUUAUAUGGUUCAUCUGAGAGUAUUGUUUUGUCGACGUCUGAGAGUAUAAUAAUUUCAGCGUUCUUAUAAAAGUCUAAAAAAAAGAAACAAAGAAAAAACACCAAGUAAUUGUAAUUUGGUUUAGGUACACACUGAACAACUUAUAAACCAAUAGUUAAAGAAAGGUCUACCAUUACCUUACUCCACUCUUGAAAACCCUUUAAGGAGUGGAGACGACUGAGAAACAAUUAGCUGAGGUAAUUUAAAGAAAAACAUUUGUUAUAAAUGUUCCUUCACUGAGGUUAGACAAAGAUAAGAGCACCUUUAUCGCGGAACACAAUGGGUUUCUGCAUGAAAUAAGGGUGUGGAUCCUACGUUUUUUAAAAAAAAUGGUUACCAAAGUCGCUAGUUAUGGAUCGCUCUUGGCCAAUUUGUUACACUAUUUUAUGGACCCCACGACACGUGGCGGCCCGCGAUUGGUUUCGUUUUAAUUUUUUUAUUUUUAAAUCAGAUAAAACAAAAAAAAAUUUAGAAAUCCUCACCCGAUAAUCAUGCUCUAAGAUGAAGGACUGGUUCUCAGAAUCUGUAAAAACUGCAGGUAUUGGUGAAAGAAAAUCCAUUAAAUGUAUCCAAACAGACAUAAUGCAGUGUUCCAAGUCUCAUAUGCUUCCAAGCCAGAAGGCACAAUUGCCCAUGUCCUAAAGGUACUACUAAACUUACUAUAAGAGGAUUUGCUCAGAUAAAUCUAAGUAUAUGCUAUCUUUUGCUAAACCACACAAAUAUUAUGGAUUCUCUUGUAUAAUUUGUAACCUUUUUGGUAACCUUUAUGGUAAUAAUAAAAGGCGUGCAAUGUUAUUGUCCAAUAUGUGAUGAUCCUAAAAUGUUUAAUAAUUUUUUUAUUAAGAAUCUUUAAUUAAGAGACUAGCAUUGGAUCUCAUAAAUGUUGAAUUUUUUUAACUAAGUCUCUUAACUAACAUUUACUAUUUAAAAAGUACUUAAAAGACCUUAAAGGAGUCUUUGGGUUAAUGAUGCUUUAAACGCCUUAACACUGUCUUUAAUCCUAAAUCGGAAUCCAAUAUUAAAAAAAUUAUAUUUGCAUAAUAAUCUUCAAAAUCAAUCAAAACUCACUAAUAAAAAUUACAAACAAUAUUAUCUAAUAAAAAUACAAACUAAAUAAUCUGCAAGAAAAGUUUAACUAACUCACCCCAUCACACUGAAAUACUGAAUAGCUUGUAUGCCAAUAAAUUUUCCAUCUGAUUAUAUAACAUGUUACUAUGUAUCAUUUGGUUUUGUUUAGUAAAUUUAUUUAACGGAUCACAUAUACUAUGUCAUAUCUAAUAAGUGAAUCAACGGAUUUAUAUUUAAUAAUUUGGAUUUUAUAUGUUAAUAUGUGAUAUAUAAUCCUAAACAGAUAAUGUUUUCUUCAUGUUCUUGGACAACACAACAUUUUUCUUAUAAAUUGCUCAAAGUGAUAAUUCACUUCUAGUUAUACCUAAUGGCAUUAGUAAAAGCCUUUUCAAUACAAAAUAAAUUACACCAAGAAACUAUAGUUAGAUGAGCAUGGCGACAAAAAACAACAUAAAACUGGGACAAAACUCAAGAGAUAGAGUUAAAGUCUUUGAAUUUUUGUCCUUUGUUUCACACUAAACCCUGAACUGAGUUAAACAAAGCCGCCCGUUCUUCGAGACAAAACACACUAUUACUAUCUCUCUCUCUCUCUCUCUCUCUCUCUCUCUCUUUCUAAGAGCAUCUCCAAAAAGGAACUCUAUUUUGAAAUUUUCAAAACUCUAUAUUUGAAGUUUCAAUGUGUUUUUCUCCAAAAGUAAAACUUCAAACCUAACUUCAAAAUUAUUUAUAUUUUACACUAUGGUCCUUAUAUUUGUCAUAGUUGAUGUAAAUUCAUAAAACUUCUAUAAAUAACUAGUACAUAUAUAUAAAUAUUACAUAAAUAUUAAUUAAAAAAAUCUUACACUAAAAUAUAAAAUUAUAAAUAAAAGUACAUAAUUAAAUAUUAAACUGCAAGCAAAUACUAUAUUAUUCCAUAAAAUUAUUUCUAUAAUGCUUCCAUAUAUGAUCAACUAGUGCAUUUCGAAGUAAGAAAUGAUUCUCUUUAUUUUUUAUUUGUAGAUUACGAGCCAAAAUUUUUUGAAAUCGAAUAUCCUCAUAAUAUGGCUGUUGAUAGUUUGAUAUCAUCAAACGAAAAAUCCUUGAUCUUUAAAACGAAAGUACAACAAGCAGGGAAAAAUGUCACGAGAUGAUUGAAUUAUGAAUGCAAAAUGAAGCAAAAAAGUUAGCUUUUAAAGAAGUAAAAUAGGAAAAUAAAAUAUUGCUAAAAAACUUAGCUUCUAUCGAUGAUGUUAAUAUUCGUGAAUACAUUCGAUCUGAACAAGAAAGAAUCAUACGAAAAAUGCGUCAAGAGCAACAACAACAAUCAUCUUCAGUUACACAAAAUUUGUUUGGAUAAUAUUUUGGAGAUUUUGGAGGUUCCGGAGCAAAUUUACCAGACUAUUAGUGUUUUUAUAAUAUUUAAAUUUGAGUAAUAAUUAUGUCUUCAUGUGUCUUUUUAAUAUGUUUUUAUCAUGGUUUUUUGUAAUAUUCUUAUUGUUUAAUUCUAGUUUUAAAAUAUUAUAAUUAUUCUUGUUUCAAUUUUUUUUUUUAUUUAAUUUCAUGUGUAAAACUUAAAUUUAUAAAAAAAUUUGAAAUAUUUAUGAGAUAUAAAAGUCUUAAGGAUUAAAACAAUAAACAAAAAAAUAUUCAAGAAUUAUAAAUAUGAUGUAUAAUUGUAAGGACCAAAAUGCAAAUAAAAAGAUGAAACUUCAAAUUUGAAGUUUUGAAAAGUGAAACUCUAUAUUUGGAGUUUCACUCUUCAAAACUUCAAAUUUGAAGUUUUAAAGUUCAUUUUUGGAGAGCAAAAAACUCUAUAUUUGAAGUUAUAGAGUUUCUUUUGGAGAUGCUCUAACUCUUCCAACUGGUUCCCUCUUUCUUUCUCACUCUUCACUUUCCCUUUCAAUCAGGAAAAUCCCUGUUUUCUUUCUCCUUUCUGUGUUUUUUUCUUCCCCAUUACCUUAAAAUCUUUAUUUAUCUGAGGUUUUCUUGUAAACAAACAGUCUAAUCCAAGUUCAAGGGGGUUUCCCAGCUUCAUUGGAGGCUGAAGUCAUGAGCUUUACAAGAAGACAAGUGUUCUUUGUUCUCUCUGUUUUAGCCUUGACAAUGCCGUUCUCGGCUGGAGUCACCAAUCUACGAGAUGGUAACAAUCUCUCUCUUCUCCUGUCUGCAAGUUUCCACUUUUGGUUUUGCUUUGUCUGUUUAAAUUUUAUGGUUUAUGAACUCAACAAACUAGAUUUUGAGUUUAUGUCAAAGUGAAAGCGACUUGCAACACUGUUAGUGUACACAUUAGCUUUGUGCUUUAGAUUGGCAGAUUCUAUUGCUCUGAGUCCAGACUAAAAAAACCCUAAAGUUGACACAUAAGUUCUUGUUAGGGUUUAGUUCAACAGUACAACAACUCUUUGAUUUUUAAUAUUUUUUUGGAUAAUUGAUUUGUGAUGGGUUUGUUUGAUCACACUGGCUUGCCUUUGGAGGAGACCCUUGUGUAGAAAAGUGGCAAGGUGUGGUCUGUGAUUCCUCAAACAUCACAGAAAUGUACACUCUCUCAACUCUUACUAUGGUUUGCUUAAGACUCACCAAAGAAUGAAGCUUUAGUCAAGUCCUGACCAGUGUGAUUAUUGUUGUUGGCUGCAGAAGGAUACCUGGCAUGAAGGUGGGUGGAGGCUUAAGUGACACCUUGGCUGAUUUUUCAUCAAUCCAACUGGUGUAAGCAAAGCUUCUUGUUUUUCUUGAUGUUUAAUUUGAUUUUUUUCAUAAUACUCUUUUCAUCAAAAAUCCAUAGAUCCGUAUAAAGUACAUGGAAUUUUAACCGUAAACUAACUAAUUACGUUGUUCUGGGAUUCCGAUGCGACCCUAUCCCUCUAGUGAGAGCCUCAUUCAGAAAUCGAUUCUCAUUUGAUGCGAUCUAUGGCGUGAGGUGAUUAUGUUUAGCUUUUAUUCAUUAAUUGUGAUUUCAAAUUGAUGAGAUUUUCGAUAAUUAAGAUUCGACUGGGAGAAAAAAGUUUUGGAAAAUUUAUUUUCUCUUAAUGUAAAUGUUUCCUUUUUUCCAAUGCUUAUAGGUCGGCUGCUCUGCAUAUAUAAAGACACUCUCAGAUCAUCAAUAAGGUGAGAGAGGCAAGAAAGAUACAAUGUUGAAAAGAAGACAUGGCUCAAUUUUGAAAAGACAUGGCUCUGAUAAGAGAAGACGUGGCUCCAGCUCGAGUGUGGAAUUGGAAGUGCUACCACACGAUGUGAUAGAGCUCAUACUCGAGAGACUUCCCGUGGAAUCUCUGCGGAGAUUCAGGUCUGUGUCCAAGAAGUGGAUAUCCACAAUCGAUUCCCCUCGUUUCCAGUCAAGGCAGCUGAACCUUCGCAGGCAAUCACGAGGUCAUGAUCUCCUUUUCGUAGCCUAUUACGAGGAUCCUCCUGAUAAUGUAGCUCAACAUGCCUUGGGCUCUUCUUCUUCUUGCAGAUACCGUACUGUCAAGUUCCCUUUUCCGAACCUCUUGCUUUGCUAUGGUAGUUGCGACGGUCUGGUUUGCCUCUUCUGUAUUGACACACCCAACGUCGUGGUGAAUCCCGCCACUCGAUGGCAUCGAAGUUUUCCUUUUUCCUCCCUGCAACGUCGUAUCAUCGACAAAGGACCGCCCUUUGGCAGCAACCCAAUUUAUGAGCUUGGAUUUGGUAAAGACAAGUUGAGUGGUACUUACAAGCCUGUUUGGUUGUAUAAUAAUUCAUCCAAAUUCGGACUAGACAAUGUUACCACUUGUGAAGUUUUCGACUUUAGCACCCACUCCUGGAGGAACCUUGUCCCUUCUUCUCCUUAUCCUAUUCUCAGAUUCCAGAAGCCAGUCUAUUUUGACGGGUCACUCUAUUGGCUCACCGACUGUGUAGAAGAAACAAAGGUUUUGUCUUUCGAUCUCCACGCUGAAACUUUCCAAGUCAUCUGUAAAGCUCCCUUUGCUGAUGAUGCACCUCGCCCAAGUAAUGUAGUCUUGUUCAUCCUUGAUGACUGUUUGUGCGCUUCCGAGAAAACGUGGCCAACGCAAGUCAUAUGGUCCUUGGAUUCUUCUUCAAAGACAUGGAAGCAAAUGUGUUCUAUAGAUCUCACCAAUACUUUUC
rnacentral:lncRNA from 1 species